rnacentral:rRNA from 1 species
GACGAACGCUGGCGGCGUGCCUAAUACAUGCAAGUCGAGCGGAUCUUCAUUAGCUUGCUUUUGAAGAUCAGCGGCGGACGGGUGAGUAACACGUGGGCAACCUGCCUGUAAGACUGGGAUAACUUCGGGAAACCGGAGCUAAUACCGGAUAAUCCUUUCCCUCUCAUGAGGGAAAGCUGAAAGACGGUUUCGGCUGUCACUUACAGAUGGGCCCGCGGCGCAUUAGCUAGUUGGUGAGGUAACGGCUCACCAAGGCGACGAUGCGUAGCCGACCUGAGAGGGUGAUCGGCCACACUGGGACUGAGACACGGCCCAGACUCCUACGGGAGGCAGCAGUAGGGAAUCUUCCGCAAUGGACGAAAGUCUGACGGAGCAACGCCGCGUGAGCGAUGAAGGCCUUCGGGUCGUAAAGCUCUGUUGUCAGGGAAGAACAAGUAUCGGAGUAACUGCCGGUACCUUGACGGUACCUGACCAGAAAGCCACGGCUAACUACGUGCCAGCAGCCGCGGUAAUACGUAGGUGGCAAGCGUUGUCCGGAAUUAUUGGGCGUAAAGCGCGCGCAGGCGGUUCCUUAAGUCUGAUGUGAAAGCCCCCGGCUCAACCGGGGAGGGUCAUUGGAAACUGGGGAACUUGAGUGCAGAAGAGGAGAGCGGAAUUCCACGUGUAGCGGUGAAAUGCGUAGAGAUGUGGAGGAACACCAGUGGCGAAGGCGGCUCUCUGGUCUGUAACUGACGCUGAG